rnacentral:tRNA from 1 species
GCAGAAGUACCCAAGUGGUCGAAGGGGCUCGCCUGGAAAGUGAGUAGGUCGUUAAUAGCGGCGCAUGGGUUCAAAUCCCAUCUUCUGCG